GAUGAACGCUGGCGGCGUGCCUAAUACAUGCAAGUCGAGCGAGCAGACGAGGAGCUUGCUCCUCUGACGUUAGCGGCGGACGGGUGAGUAACACGUGGAUAACCUACCUAUAAGACUGGGAUAACUUCGGGAAACCGGAGCUAAUACCGGAUAAUAUAUUGAACCGCAUGGUUCAAUAGUGAAAGACGGUUUUGCUGUCACUUAUAGAUGGAUCCGCGCCGCAUUAGCUAGUUGGUAAGGUAACGGCUUACCAAGGCAACGAUGCGCAGCCGACCUGAGAGGGUGAUCGGCCACACUGGAACUGAGACACGGUCCAGACUCCUACGGGAGGCAGCAGUAGGGAAUCUUCCGCAAUGGGCGAAAGCCUGACGGAGCAACGCCGCGUGAGUGAUGAAGGUCUUCGGAUCGUAAAACUCUGUUAUUAGGGAAGAACAAAUGUGUAAGUAACUAUGCACGUCUUGACGGUACCUAAUCAGAAAGCCACGGCUAACUACGUG
rnacentral:rRNA from 1 species